GACGAACGCUGGCGGCGUGCUUAACACAUGCAAGUCGAACGAUGAAAGCUGGAGCUUGCUCCGGCUGGAUUAGUGGCGAACGGGUGAGUAACACGUGAGCAAUCUGCCCUUGACUCUGGGAUAACUCCGAGAAAUCGGUGCUAAUACCGGAUAUGACCCUUGGCGGCCUCGCUGGGGGUGGAAAGUUUUUCGGUCAAGGAUGAGCUCGCGGCCUAUCAGCUUGUUGGUGCGGUAAUGGCUCACCAAGGCGACGACAGGUAGCCGGCCUAAGAGGGUGACCGGCCACACUGGGACUGAGACACGGCCCAGACUCCUACGGGAGGCAGCAGUGGGGAAUAUUGCACAAUGGGCGCAAGCCUGAUGCAGCAACGCCGCGUGGGGGAUGACGGCCUUCGGGUUGUAAACCUCUUUUCGCAGGGAAGAAGCGAAAGUGACGGUACCUGCAGAAAAAGCACCGGCUAACUACGUGCCAGCAGCCGCCGCGG
rnacentral:rRNA from 1 species